UGUCUUCCUUCUUCUCCUUGCAAACUCACGGCACAAUGAGGGAUGAUUGGUGAAUGGUAUAGUGAAAAUCUGGUAGAGGGUGGUGAGUGAAAGGGUGCGGCAAUGGGUUGUAUAUAUAGGCUGAAAAUCCCAUCUCCUAGGUAGCAAAGGACAAGGUUUUAAAGGCCUAAAUUGCAUAGGAUAAUAACAUCCAAUCCUAUAAGGAAAACAAGUCAAAACCCCAAAGGGAUUGGGAGAUAAGGUGCAGCACAAAGAGUGUGAAAUGAUAAGGCUUCUAGAAACCAAAAUCCUAAAGGAAAUAGGGUAGAAAAUUCGGCACAAAGUGUGGUUUCUAGAAGGAUAAUGCAAGGUAGAUUUUUAGGCUUCUAGAAAGGUUCUUAGGUGUCAUCUUGGUAGGAUAAGAUAAGGUCUUCUAGAAAUCCCAUUUUAAGCAUCCUAAUCUAAUUAGAAACCCUCCUAAGUGGCUGG
rnacentral:lncRNA from 1 species